UACAGAGGGGGCAAGCGUUGUUCGGAAUUACUGGGCGUAAAGGGCGCGUAGGCGGCCUGUUAAGUCGAACGUGAAAUCCCCGGGCUCAACCCGGGAACUACGUCCGAUACUGGCAGGCUUGAAUUCGGGAGAGGGAUGUGGAAUUCCAGGUGUAGCGGUGAAAUGCGUAGAUAUCAGGAGGAACACCGGUGGCGAAGGCGGAUCUCUGGGCCGUAACUGACGCUGAGGAGCGAAAGCAUGGGGAGCGAACAGG
rnacentral:rRNA from 1 species